rnacentral:rRNA from 1 species
UACGAAGGGGGCUAGCGUUGCUCGGAAUCACUGGGCGUAAAGGGUGCGUAGGCGGGCGAUUAAGUCAGGGGUGAAAUCCCGGAGCUCAACUCCGGAACUGCCUUUUGAUACUGGUCGUCUAGAGAUCGGAAGAGGUGAGUGGAAUUCCCAGUGUAGAGGUGAAAUUCGUAGAUAUUGGGAAGAACACCAGUGGCGAAGGCGGCUCACUGGUCCGAUACUGACGCUGAGGUGCGAAAAGCGUGGGGAGCAAACAGG